rnacentral:lncRNA from 1 species
AACAUGGCGGGCCAUCUCCUCACGCCCCUCAGGGCUCGACAGGGGCGCAUGGGUCUCCUCAGCGGGCUCCUCUGGUGAGGGCUCGGUGGACGUCGUGGCCCCUAACUGCAUCUUCUUCUCCUUUUGGAGGGACCUGCAUGGCAUGGGGGCUCAGCUCCCGGUUUCAAGAGGUAGGAAACAAAGAUCACGAAGCAGAAAGUAAGAUGCGGGUACUUACUCGCCAGGUGAAGGCGAGAGACUCCUCUUCACAUUCAGAUGGGGGCGGCUGUCGCUGUCGCUCCCUCCGGAGGGCUCAGCGCGAGGCUUGCCGACGUAUCCUCCCGCCGGG